rnacentral:rRNA from 1 species
UGGGGAAUCUUGCGCAAUGGGCGAAAGCCUGACGCAGCAACGCCGCGUGCGGGAUGAAGGCUCUCGGGUUGUAAACCGCUUUCAGCAGGAACGAAAAUGACGGUACUUGCAGAAGAAGGUGCGGCCAACUAUGUGCCAGCAGCCGCGGUGAUACAUAGGCACCAAGCGUUGUCCGGAUUUAUUGGGCGUAAAGAGCUCGUAGGUGGUUCGGUAAGUCGGGUGUGAAAACUUUGGGCUCAACCCAAAGCCUGCAUCCGAUACUGCUGUGACUAGAGUUCGGUAGGGGAGCGGGGAAUUCCUAGUGUAGCGGUGAAAUGCGCAGAUAUUAGGGGGAACACCGGUGGCGAAGGCGCCGCUCUGGGCCGAUACUGACACUGAGGAGCGAAAGCGUGGGUAGCAAACAGGAUUAGAUACCCCCGUAGUCCCUGAGCGGGCUGGCAAGGCGCAU